rnacentral:rRNA from 1 species
AUAGUUAAUUUUUAAUUCCAACAUCGAGGUCGCAAUCUUUUUUAUCAAUAAGAACUCUCCAAAAAAAUUACGCUGUUAUCCCUAAGGUAAUUUAAUCUAUUAAUCAUAAUAAAUGGAUCAUAAAUUCAUUAAUUAAUGUUAAAAAUAAAUAAAAGUUUUAUAAAUUUUAAAAUCACCCCAAUUAAAUUUAAUUAAAAAUUAUUAGCUUAAAAUUCUUAAAUCAAAUAAAUAUUAACUAAAUUAAACUCUAUAGGGUCUUCUCGUCUUUUAAUAUUAUUUAAGCUUUUUAACUUAAAAAUAAAAUUCUUUUAAAAUUACAAAUAGACAGUCUUUUUCUCAUUCAGCCAUUCAUACAAGCUUUCAAUUAAAAAACUAAUGAUUAUGCUACCUUUGUACAGUCAAAAUACUGCAGCUAUUUAAUUAAUCAUUGAGCAGACUAGACCUUAAAUCAUUAUCAAAAGGAC